ensembl:lncRNA
GCUUCGUAGAGAAGUCCACAUUCUACUUUGCUCCCAGCAUUCCGUCUUGCAUGAGGCAACCGAUUAACAGCAAAUUCAUUUCAGCACAACAUUUCCAUUUGAAGAAAAGCAGGGCAUAGAACUCUGGUCAUAAUUAAAAGCUUGUUUCGUUCGUCGUUUGAAAUUCCAUGUACUGCUGCAACAGCAGCACCCCUCCUCGCCAGGCUCUGCCUAAAGGACAUCAUUCUUCCAGCGCACGACUCCCAUCAGAACCCCGGCAGCAAGAGCCACGCAGGUUUCCCAGUGCCUCGGGCUGUGGCUUCCAUGCUAGGCCAGCACUGACACGAUGGGAGUGGUGUCCCAACAACUACAGGAUCGGAAGCUGGCCGACUGCUCUGUAGAAUGCAGACAUGUUAGUAAUCACUGACAGUUCCACUGACAGGCUGCUCAGCUAAACUGGGAAAACUCCACAAAAUAGAAAGAACCCAUGGGGAGCACUUCUCUCUCCAACCUGGCAGCAAACGGUGGCUGUGCAGACGACCUCUUCGGGAUAACCAUCGACUGCAUCUCAGCCUCCAUGGCGUUUCACACUCUGCCUUUAUAUAGAGAUGAACCAUGCAUCCUGAGUGCUACAAAGAUUCACCUCCUUCCGGGCAGAAGGGUGCAUCUUUCCAUCACGGGGUCUUCACGCGAGCCGGCCCAGGAUUUGCAGAGUGGGUGAGUCUAACGUUGAUGAUACUUUCUCAAUAUUCCCUUCACACCCUUCCAAAAACAAGAGUACUGCCAGCUUCUUACCGAGGUUGUAAUGAGCAAAAUAUUUUUCUCUUAUUUGUCACUUUUUAACGUAAUACUAGUGAAGAAUGUGACUCUACAUGUACACUGUAAGCACCCACACCGUGAACAUUCUGCUCUCCCGUGACUGUAUUCACAGGUCACAAGGACAAAACUUCUCCAUAGUAGCCAAAAUUUAUUUAUUUAUUUAUUUAUUUAUUUAUUUAUUUAUUUAUUUAUUUAUUUCUGUUAACAUGACUUCCACUCAUCUGAAAGUCACAGAUGUGGCUUUUCCUUCAUAAAAAGAUCCAAAGGAUCCACAAGCCAGGUUUAAUAAACACGUUGGUCCAGGUAGGAAAAUGAUCCUUCAGUCUCCCUCCCCUCAAAGAACAGGGCAGCCAGGAAACUGCGCUCUCCAGUCAAUGACAGCUGGCAGGAUUCCCUAAGUAAGCAACCGGAAGAUUCCCAUCUCGCAGAGCGCGCCUUUCAAGACAAAGAACAUACUACCCAACUGAGGACUGAGGCAGUAAAGAAACAUGUUUUCGGCCGGGUGCGGCGGCUCACGCUUGUAAUCCCAGCACUUUGGGAGGAGGAGGCAGGCGGAUCACAAGGUCAGGCGAUCGAGACCAUCCCGGCUAAGACGGUGAAAUCCCCGUCUCUACCAAAAAUACAAAAAAUUAGCCAGGCGUGGUAGCGGGCACCUGUAGUCCCAGCUACUCGGGAGGCUGAGGCAGAAGAGAGGAGUGAAGCUGGGAGGCAGAGUUUGCAGUGAGCCAAGAUCACGCCACUGCACUCCAGCCUGGGCGACAGAGCAAGACUCUGUCUCAAAAAAAUAAAUAAAUAAAAAUAAAAAUAAAUAAAAGUAAAAAUAAAAUAAAUAAAAUUAAAAAUGUGUCCUCUUGUUUUGGCCUUUGAGACAAAGCCUCUUAUUUAAUCGAGUUCUGACUGAAUUUGACUCACAGUACUCUGGCAGAUUCUUCAUUUUCUGGUGAGAUAGACGAAUGUCGCAGGGUGAGGGCAAUGCCAGCCCUUUCAGGGUCAACUUUUUGAGGAGUGAUGUCUGGCAGAACACAAUCCAACACCAUAGUAGGAUCCCCCACCCAAGAACUUAGACGCUUUCUGGUACUUACUCUGUCUGCUUGUUUCCCUUUCUUGAAUUCAGCUGAGGGGAAAAAAAAACAAAAAAAUCAAAACCAGAAACGAACAGCCCAUGUGUUUUUGUGUCUGAAAAGUUAAUACAUCCACAUCCAACUUUCUAAAUGAGACACGGCAGGUAUGAUGGUCACCGAACAGUGGCCACUGUUGACAAAAUGCAAAGUCUUCUGCAAACAUGAACGAGUUUCUAGGAAUACAAAGUCAAGGGAAUUUACUCCACAUAUUAAAGCUGUCAAGGGUGCUCAUCAAAAAUGUACUUAGAGGUUUUCCUUUAAAGUUAUUUUUGAAGAUUUUUAAGUUGCAAUAGUUAAAAGCCUCUGGGAAAAGAAAGGAUACAGCUAUCUGGAAGAUUUAUACUAAAUGAUUUUCAUGUCUUUUUUGAUAAAGUUAAAUAAGAUCAGCCUUGAAGUAAUGGGUUCCACUACUCUGAGGCUGUGGAUGGAAUCCACACCACGAGACAAUUGAAUAAACAGCAAGGCUGCACACACAGGAUGCAGGCAGUGAGCCAGCCUGACUAUAGUCAUGUUCUGGGUCAGUUCUACCCAGUUCUGCCCAGGCCCCACUGGAGAUGAAAACCUGCCCUGUAGAAGUCUUCAAUCCCCACCUUUCAAAAUCUAAUCCUCUUCAACUGAGGCCCGAGUCCAAAAUCUACUGACAUCUUAGCCCGCGUUAGACCAGCUGUCCCCCAGCCUUUUUGGCACCAGGGAUGGGUUUCAUGGAAGACAAUUUUUCUGGGGGCUGGUUUUGAAUUGCAACUGUUCCACCUCAGGUCAGGUAUUGGAUCCUCAUAAGGAGCACCUCCGAGAUCCCUCACAUACAGUUUACAAUAGGGUCCCAGCGCCUAGGAGAACAUGCGGCUUAAAGAGGUCCAGCGCCUAGGAGAACACGCGGUUAUGAUAGGGCCCCAGCACCUAGGAAAACAUGCGGCUUACGAACAGGUAUAUAUCUACGAGAACAGGUAUGAAAUGAAUUGGUAAAGCCAAAAUCCACCGGAUCUACCACUCCAAAACAAACACCACUCUCCAAUAUUGAUGUGAGCCAAAAACAUGGAAGUCCUGAGGGCCCACACUGACCACAGCCAGACACCACUUCUGCAAGAAGCAAGCAAGCGCCUAGAGAUCACCCGUGAUGACCCAGGAGAACAGUUUGAGCAGAGACAAAUGUGAAGGAGAGGCAUAUAGGCCAGGGUGCUGGGUGUGCCCGUCUUUGUGACCUCACUGAGAUUGCUGACCUCUAGCCCUUGGUGUCUGUCCUAUGGAGGAGGUAGCCCCCAAAUCCCUGCCUCCCUUCAGCACUGACUGAGGUGGCCCUGAAGUCUCCCCAGGGCUGAGACUGCUUCUAAAUCCUGUUAACUGCACAUCCACAUAAAAAACAAAAAACAAAAUAUCAAGUAUGCAGACGGGAAAACAAAAAUACGUGAAUCCUCCCUUAUUCAACAGGCAUUUAAAAAGUAAUAGGAAAAUUGUGAUAGGCUUUAAACAACCACCAGCUAUCACGUCCUGUUGACAUGUUUUAGCUAAUCAGGAACAUCUUUACCAAGCACCUGUGUGUUCAGGAAAUCAGUUGACAGGUCCCAAAUAACCUCGGAGCCUGCGACCUGGCCCCCACUCACGCACAUCACCUCUCCCAGAGAACGAGCCCUGGACACCUUUCAAAUGGUGAGGAACAGGAACAAGGGUAGCUUUCCCUCAACACCACAAAACAAGCUCGACCCCGAGGAGCCCGGAGAACAGCGACGUUUGUUUAGAUGCUUUCCCACUGACCUUGUCAGAGGAACGUUCCAUCCCACACGGCCCAGUGUUUUACUCUCCUGGAUACCAGCAGCCAAUCAACUCUCAACAAGCUGGAAACAGAGGCCAAGCUGACAGGAGGCCUCUCUCCAUUCCCUACUGAAUUCGCUCAGGACACGGAUGUUCCCAACACACACGGCCCGAGUAUUCCACACCUGGAGAACAUUCAAACAACAGACGCUGCAAAGACGUUCCCCUAAAGAGAAACUCAGUUUCUAACUUCCCUUAGGGAAAAAUAUGAGAUCCAGAACUUUCCAAAAAAAUCAAGUGUGGGAUGAAGCCACUCACCUCUGGCACUUCCUAACCUUGCCUUCCCCAGGUGCUCAGGCAUGGCCCCGUGACAGCCCCGUCCACCAG